UACGAGUUUGAUCCUGGCUCAGAAUGAACGUUGGCGGCGUGGAUUAGGCAUGCGAGUCGUACGAGAACCCGCAAGGGGAAGUGGCGAACGGGGUAGUAAUGCGUAGGUGACGUGCCCUAUGGUCGGGGAUAGCUUAGGGAAACUUAAGGUAAUACUCGAUAAUCCCGGGAGGUUUGAAGACCAUCCGGGCAAAGGUGUGAUUCCAUCAUAGGAGCGGCUUGCGUGGUAUUAGCUAGUUGGUGAGGUAACGGCUCACCAAGGCUGCGAUGCCUAGGGGAUGUUAGCGCAUGAUCCCCACCACUGGGACUGAGAUACUGCCCAGACACCUACGGGUGGCUGCAGUCGAGAAUCUUCGGCAAUGGGCGAAAGCCUGACCGAGCGACGCCGCGUGUGGGAUGAAGGCCCUUGGGUUGUAAACCACUGUCAGAGGGGAUGAAAUGCACGAGAGCUAUCUCUUGUGUUUGACAUAGCCUCAGAGGAAGCACGGGCUAAGUUCGUG
rnacentral:rRNA from 1 species